AGCUCCAAUAGCGUAUAUUAAAGUUGUUGCAGUUAAAAAGCUCGUAGUUGGAUUUCGGGAUGGCCCGGCCGGUCUGCCGCAAGGUAUGUUACUGGCCGAGCUGUUCUUCCUCGCAAAGACUGUGUGUGCUCUUAACUGAGUGUGCUCAGGAUCUGCGACGUUUACUUUGAAAAAAUUAGAGUGUUCAAAGCAAGCCAGCGCUUGAAUACAUAAGCAUGGAAUAAUGGAAUAGGACUUCGUUUUUUCCUAUUUUGUUGGUUUCUCGGAACGAAGUAAUGAUUAAGAGGGACAGUUGGGGGCAUCCGUAUUUCGUUGUCAGAGGUGAAAUUCUUGGAUUUACGAAAGACGAACAACUGCGAAAGCACUUGCCAAGAGUGUUUUCAUUAAUCAAGAACGAAAG
rnacentral:rRNA from 1 species